rnacentral:lncRNA from 10 species
AAAUUAAUUCGUUUUCAUCUUGCCUUCAUCUAAAGUUCACCUGCAAUACAUAAGAAGUGAAUAACUGCUAGCAGAGAAGGCUGUUCUUGUCUGUAACUGACCCACUACCAUCAACCCUGGUUUUGAGCUGCUUGCAGCACCAGCUAUUGGCUGUGUAAAAAAUCUCACAAUGAUGCUAGACUGUUUGACUGAAACAUAUUACAAAGACAAAGCAAUAACUAAAUUCUGUGAUCCAGCAACUAUACAUAAUCCCAGUCAUCAGAAACAGUAUUUCUACAAUUGAAAACACAGUUAGUGAUGAACUCGAUGAUCGUUCAAAGAUGAGAAACAAAAUUGUGAAAGCAAUGCUCAUCUCCAAAAUGAUGUACGUAGUUAACGUCAUAAAUUUAAAGAUGAGCCCACAUUAAACAAGAUAGAAGAUAGGAAAGAGAACAAUAUUCGUGUCCAAAGACACCUUCAAGCCUCUUUUACAUUUAGUUGCCUUCUGACUAAAAUACUAUGUACUGAAAAUUUUUUGGAAACACUUCAGAUACAAAUGUGAGAAAUCUUUUACAACUUUAAAUGUGGACAUGAACAGUCUUCAAAAUCUUCUUCAUUCUUUGGAACAGUGUAUCAAAUUGAAUGUGCAAAUGCACAUCAUUGUAAAAUGUGAUAAAAAGGUAACACAAUUAAGCACUUGCUAUUUAAAUAAUUUCCU